UACAGAGGGUGCGAGCGUUAAUCGGAAUUACUGGGCGUAAAGCGUGCGUAGACGGUUAUUUAAGUCGGAUGUGAAAGCCCCGGGCUCAACCUGGGAAUUGCAUUCGAGACUGAAUAGCUAGGGUGCGGUAGAGGGAAGCGGAAUUUCCGGUGUAGCGGUGAAAUGCGUAGAUAUUCGGAAGAACACCAGUGGCGAAGGCGACUCACUGGACGACUGUUGACGCUGAGGUGCGAAAGCGUGGGGAGCAAACAGG
rnacentral:rRNA from 1 species